rnacentral:lncRNA from 1 species
AUUUGUCUGCAUGUGAAUGCCUCCUCCUUCCAAUCCUUUUCUCUCUUAACCUCUGCUUCCACCCUCAACUGACUUUCAAUAGCUUUCCUCAGAGCUUUGUACUAAAUGUUCUCUUUAGCCAAAACUUGGCCACUUCCACUGAAGUUAUGUCAGUGAGAAGAAAGCAGAAAGAUCUGACUCUUUGGAAGGCUCCAUUCAAAUUUAUGUUCAUAUUUCCAUGUGUGAGCCAUAGAGGAGCUUUGUGUGGCUGGAGUCAGAGGAAAAGGAAGGGGUGGCUUAGCCAUUCUCCCUUUAGAAACAGUGAAUAGUUGAUCCCAUCAUGCAAUCAUCUUUUCCUGUACAGGAAUAGGACCUACAGACUCCAUGCAGCCACAUUCUCCCUGCACAAUUCUUCAGUGUUUGGUGGCCCUGAACUUCAUAAUGCAUUUAAGCCAAGGUGGUAAAGCUUAUACACUUCUUUGGACAUGUUUGUAGACACUGCUAAGAUCUCCCUCCCACCACUACCACGAAGGCUUGCAGACCAGCA